rnacentral:rRNA from 1 species
AGCGAACGCUGGCGGCAGGCUUAACACAUGCAAGUCGAACGAUGAAGCCGGAGCUUGCUCUGGUGAAUUAGUGGCGAACGGGUGAGUAACACGUGAGUAACCUGCCCUUGACUCUGGGAUAACUGCUAGAAAUGGUAGCUAAUACCGGAUACGACCCUCGGCGGCAUCGCCAGGGGGUGGAAAGAAUUUCGGUCAAGGAUGGACUCGCGGCCUAUCAGCUAGUUGGUGAGGUAACGGCUCACCAAGGCGACGACGGGUAGCCGGCCUGAGAGGGUGACCGGCCACACUGGGACUGAGACACGGCCCAGACUCCUACGGGAGGCAGCAGUGGGGAAUAUUGCACAAUGGGCGCAAGCCUGAUGCAGCAACGCCGCGUGAGGGAUGACGGCCUUCGGGUUGUAAACCUCUUUUAGUAGGGAAGAAGCGAAAGUGACGGUACCUGCAGAAAAAGCACCGGCUAACUACGUGCCAGCCGCCGCGGUAA